rnacentral:lncRNA from 1 species
CCACAUAGUGACACAUUCCCAAAACUGGCACAGAUUAUAAUUGCUGAAUGCUCCAAACAAAAAUGGUUCCCAUGGCAGGCAAAGCUACCAAAAAAAGUCUUCGCGACUGUGCAUUUCUAAAUGGGAGAUUGGAGAUUUCCAUGCCGUCUUCAAGUUUGCACUUUCUAUUAUUAUGGCAAACUGUUUAUUACUACAAAGAAUUAAAGUGGGAUAGGUCAUAUACUGUGCUGCAACUCUAUAUAUAAACAAUCAUGUAAGGGUUUAGAUGAUAACAAUGAAAUCAGACUCUUUCAAAAAAUUGUAAAACGAAAUCCCAAGUUUCCAAUGACGUCAAGUUGAAAUUACAAAAUUUAAACUUAAGCUUUGAUUGCAAAAGUAAAACUUGUUAUGGCACAAUAGUAUAGGUAUAGUCAUUGAAGAAGGUGGCUUUUGGGUAAAUAACUAGAUGCAUGCGGUACUCCUGCAUUUUGAACAAAUUUAUACAGAGCAAAAGCUUUCAAAUAGGAAACACUUCUUCACCCAAUGAAAACUGGAAAGACAAAGAAAAUAGAACACGCCUUUCCUGCACAUUGUUUUCCCCACCAAAUGAUUGGUACUUUGACUGUAAUAACAAUAAAAAGACAUGCUCUUAGAUCCAGUGUUUAAAUGUUUUAGCCAUGUAUAUUAGUUCAAAAUACUUCAUUCAUACUAAAUAACAUGAUAGCAAGAAGGUUACAAAAGGAAAGCAAGAAAUGGCAAUGUCUUUUCGGUUUAGACUAGCUGCAAUGAUGUACUGUCUAUAUGAGAGAACCUGCAGAGCAAUUAUCUAUCUUGCUCAACUGUUACAAAUGUGCUUUAGAGGUUAUCAUAUAGUUUCACCAACAUCCAGCCUAAGCAAUUGCAAAAAAUAAAAGAAUUAAUGAAUUCCUGAACAUACGCACACACACACACAGCCAAAAUACUAUAGCUUAUUUAUUGAAAUUAAUCCACUAUGCCAAAUUAUGAUCAAUGGAAAAUUCAAAAUUUUAUUUUUUGUAAUAUAAAAAGGAAAAAUCACUGAAAGCAAUUUACCAUAUGCUGAAAAUGAAGAAUACAUAUUCCAUAUACAGGUAUUAAUGAGUAAAACAUUUAGUUACCUCUUGGAUCGGCAUAACCAUCUCAACACAUCUCUUUAUUGGAAGCUUUUCCCUCUUCUAUUUCAAUAGAAAACAAAGAAAGGGCAGCUGAUGUUCUUAGUUAAAUCUUGGGAUUAAAGGUUAGAACUUGAUACCUGCAAAUGUGGAAAACAGGAUCAUGACAACAGCGUGGAAGCAAUAACUACUAAAAUUCAAAGGUAAGGUCUCUUGACAAGUGCCGAUUUAUGAAUGAAAUGAAAUCUUUGAUCAUCUUUAAAGAAAGUUUUAAGAGCUAUAAAAUGAUUCUUGAGAAGUAGGAUAAUCAACAUCAGAACUAGUUCUACAGCCUUACUAACAAGUUAUAGUAGUUAGCACACGACUUUGUUAACAAGUUAUAGUAAUUAGCAUACAACCCAUUAACGAGCUAC